GGGCUCUAGCUCAGUGGCAGAGCACUUGCCUUGCAUGUAUGAGGCACUAGGUUUGAUCCUCAGGAUCACA
rnacentral:tRNA from 1 species